ensembl:misc_RNA 7SK 7SK RNA
GAGUGUGAGGGAGAUCUGAUUGUGAAAUCUGUCACCCCAUUGACCUCUAGGGUUGACUCAGCUGAUCUGGCUUCUUAGGCUAUCAUUCCCUUCCUCCCUCACUGCUCCAUGUGUAUUUCCAUCCCCAUCUCAAAGCUACUCACUCAGUUGAAGAGGAUGAACAUCUCCACUAGAGGAGGACCAUUCUUCAGUAUAGGGUUUAUGAGCCACACGCACCCCUGCUAGAACUUCCCAACAAGCCCUCUCAAGAUAUCUGACUGCUCCAAGACCACCAUGCUGGAGAGGUCAUGGGAAGGGCUCAGGUUGACUGUUCCA